UACGUAGGGUCCGAGCGUUGUCCGGAGUUACUGGGCGUAAAGCGCGCGCAGGUGGUCCAUUAAGCCCGGCGUGAAAGCCCCCGGCUCAACCGGGGAGGGUCACGCGAUACUGUUCGACUCGAAGGCAGGAGAGGGAAGUGGAAUUCCCGGUGUAGUGGUGAAAUGCGUAGAUAUCGGGAGGAACACCAGUGGCGAAGGCGACUUCCUGCCUGUUCUUGACGCUGAGGCGCGAAAGCUAGGGUAGCAAAC
rnacentral:rRNA from 1 species